rnacentral:lncRNA from 1 species
UCGUUUUCAAAUAUCCCCUCUGGCUUUUGCGAACAAUCACCUCAUUAGAACUUGCAGUCAACUGUACAUGGCAUUUUGUGGCCAGCCGGCCAAAAUGUCGACGACUUGAUGGAGGUAUUACACAAGUCGCCGGUUAGAGUCAAAAGAAACGGACUCGAUAGACAAAAAGGACUGGCAUGAUUAUGAUUGGAGUCUCUGCUCUGGCAAAGGUUGGCCGAGUUCAGCUAGCUCACGCCGAAUUUCUGAAUAAGGCCUACAAUUUAUAGAAAACUAUUUAGAACUGCAGUAACUCAAUAUUUUAAACAGAUUAACUAGCUUCAAAGUAACAUAUAUAAUCACGAGUCGCUGGGUAAACAAGCCAGGAAAAAGUGUACAUUUUAUACUGGUCAUUACUGCAUAUUAUACUAGGUUCAAGAUAGUUCCAGGAGGUAUAAAAAGGUUAUGACGUAAAGUAGGUGUAACCACUAUAUUUAUAUCACCAAAAUGGAACCUGUAAACAUGAAACGAAGAGUUUAGGGGCUUAACUGUACGAUUUGUUAAAACGAGUGGAGUGUGUGUGUGUGUGUGUAUAUAUAUAUAAAUAAGGCUAGAAGAGUGCAGAGUACAUAGCUCUGAGAACACUACCAUGUCUUACCAGAUGCUCAAUGCUCUUCUCCUCCAAGCACUUCUUAUCGGUACGUAUGCACAUGGUUCACCAUUAUCAUCAUCACCAUUUCGGUUUUUUUUUUUUUU